UACGUAAGAGGCAAGCGUUGUUCGGAAUUAUUGGGCGUAAAGGGCGUGUAGGCGGUUAGAUAAGUGUGGAUUUAAAGACCGGGGCUCAACCCCGUGUUUGGUCUGCAAACUGUCUGACUAGAGUAUUGGAGGGGAGACUGGAAUUCCGCGUGUAGGGGUGAAAUCUGUAGAUAUGCGGAAGAAUACUUGUGGCGAAGGCGAGUCUCUGGCCGAUAACUGACGCUGAUGCGCGAAAGUGUGGGGAGCGAACAGG
rnacentral:rRNA from 1 species